ACGAGGAAGUAAUGGCGUCUCGCGUCGUUUCGCUUUCCGAUAUUCCUGACAAAUUAUCAUAAAUGUGACAUUACAAUGCGAAAAAAAUAGAAGUCAAAGGAAUUUGUAACUGGCUGCUACAUCGGAAGGCUCGAUAUAUCUUUAGAAAAUGACGAUAUCUAAUAUUUACGGGGUAAAAUCUAUCCAAGUCAGAGAAAAUCGGAUAGCCGCCUAGUCCAAAUAAUUGUACGUUGACGGAUGUUUUUUAGAUUUUCGAUAUGGCAAAUCCUUCACGACGUUAGGGAUUGGAAGAAUCCCGUAUAACACGUCUAAUAUUUUAGACUAGAUAGCCGCCAUGUUGUCAAUAUUGACAUCGAUACAAAGGAAAAGCGUGUGUGUGACGCAUACUGUAAAUGCAAACAAGGAAAUUGUGGAACAUGUUCACACACUCUGGCUGUAAAAGUAGACCUGGGAGGAAAAGUGCCCCCGGUGUGGGGCUCGAACUCACAACCACCAGAACCGCCCGGCACUCUAACCAACUAAGCUGACCGGGCAGCUGGUUCUAACCCACACACACUACCCUCCCCCCAUUUACCGGUUAAGGCUGGUGGAGGGUCUCCUGCUAUUUACCGUUGACACCAUUAAAGUAUUCUGAUUGAUGGAGAUAAGGAAGUCCCCUUAUUAUUGUCUUCAACAAGCCUACCGCCACAGGGGACCUAGCAUAAGACCGGAAACCGCCCCCCCACACACACACACAUGAUAUUUGCCAGUCCAGGCAAUGUCAACCGCAAGAGAAAACCAGUGAUGACAAGUUUUACAAAUAAUCGGAAAGUGUGGUCUUUUGAAGAGAGUUCUUGAAGUUGUUCAGCAUGUUGUUUUGAUGGAUUCUUGGAAGGAUGUACCUCUAUGAUGUUAGCUUCAGUUCUGGAGUAUAACACCAGUUGUUGCAUAUUUAAUAUCAGAUUUAUUAAAUACAUUGUUGUUUUUGCAAACAUUACUUAAACUUUGAUAUUUCUUUGGUGUUUAUGUAUGAUAUUGUAGGUGAAUAUCUCUUUAUUGCAAUGGCAAAUAUAUUUUAAAAUAUAUAGCAUUAGCAGAAGUUAUUUUUCACUGUUAAAGCUGCACUUUCACAGAUUGAUCACUUUGACAACUUACACAGGAUUCGAUUGCAUUUAUCAUAUUUUGCUCGGAGAAGUUUGCUUUGUGAUUUAUAUAUUAGGUCUUAAUUUAAAAAAUGCCAAAACAAGCCGAUUCUGAGACAAAAAGUGUCAAACUAGAAUUCUGUGAGAGUGCAACUUUAAGAAUACUGUUAAUCGAGUGUGCAUGUGAUCCGGACUCUGAACAUUGGAUGAACUAUCAUUAAAUAUUGUAGAUUUACGUAAAUGGCCCAAAAUAUAAGAAUAACAAUGAAAAUAUGUACAUGUUUGACUUGUUCUUUAUUCAUAAUAAGUCUAAGUCUUUACAGCACAUGUUUGGCAGAAUCAAGUUCUAAUGAACAUAAUAAUUGAUUUAAAUGUACAGUGAAAUAAAUUGUUUUAUACAGAAAAUAAUACCUUAACG